rnacentral:rRNA from 1 species
GCCUAACGGCUGAACUGGCAACUUGGAGAAGUGGCAAGUCUUCCAGUAUGGGGAGCAAAACAGCUAUGGGUCAAGUCCGAUAUCUUUAGGAGAAGUCUUAUUGUGAGGGCGAGUUAUAUAACACCAUAGGACUGGCCGUCCCAUAUGAAAAGAUUAUAUUAGAAUUGAAUGAAGCUUUGUUUAUAUAUUGAUAAUGACAGUAUAUAUAUCGUGUCUUGACUAAUUGCGUGCCAGCAGUCGCGGUAAUACGUAAGAGACUAGUGUUAUUCAUCUUAAUUAGGUUUAAAGGGUACCCAGACGGUCAAUAUAGCUUAUAAAAUGUUAGUACUUGACUAGAGUUUUAUGUAAGAGGGCAGUACUUGAGGAGGAGAGAUGAAAUUUCGUGAUACCAAAGGGACUCUGUAAAGGCGAAGGCAGCCCUCUAUGUAAAAACUGACGUUGAAGGACGAAGGCACAGAGAACAAACAGGAUUAGAUACCCAAGUAGUCUUUGCAGUAAAUGAUGAAUGCCAUAGGUUAGAUUGAUCAAUUAUAGUCUAGGGUUAGUCUAGCAAACUAAUGCCCUAUGAUAUAAUUCAAAAUAUCUGGUCUAUAAAUGAAAGUGUAAGCAUUUCACCUCAAGAGUAAUGUGGCAACGCAGGAACUGAAAUCACUANACCGUUUCUGACACCAGUAGUGAAG